UACGUAGGUGGCAAGCGUUGUCCGGAAUUAUUGGGCGUAAAGCGCGCGCAGGCGGUCUCUUAAGUCUGAUGUGAAAGCCCCCGGCUCAACCGGGGAGGGUCAUUGGAAACUGGGAGACUUGAGGACAGAAGAGGAGAGUGGAAUUCCAAGUGUAGCGGUGAAAUGCGUAGAUAUAUGGAGGAACACCGGUGGCGAAAGCGGCUCUCUGGACUGUAACUGACACUGAGGCUCGAAAGCGUGGGUAGCAAACAGG
rnacentral:rRNA from 1 species